AGGGGCUGGAAGGACUUCCUGAAGAGCUGUCCUGUGCCAGAGGCUUCUUCUGCUUGGAGCCAGGAAGCAGAGCCAGGAAUUGUGGGGGCAGGAGCUGGGAAGAAAUCUUUACAAUCGAAGUAAGGCAAAGCACCCUACCAGGUAGAACUCUUCCCUACCAAGUGGGACAGGCUGCCUUCAGACGCUGGGGUCCCCCUCACUGUCCAUCUUCAGGCAAAUGUGCUGGGCAUUAGUGUUCAGGUAGGGUCUGGAGUAGAUGACAACCCCUGAGGGCCUGCCCACAGACUUGAGUCUGUGAAAUAUUUGGAGGGAAUUGGAUUUGCUCUGCUUGGCCCUUGGAAAGCUGCACAUCUGGUGCUCUGAGGGCUAGAGGAGAAGAAGGCCUCACUGAGCUGGGCCACCAUGCUUGGCAUGGGCCUUCCUGGACCUGGGACUUCUGGGCAGAGAAAUGAGAAGGCUGGCCUGACUGGGGCUUUGUCCCAGGGUGGUGCCAUCCAUGGAAACACACUUCCUCCCCACUGUGGCUCCAUUCCCAGCCCCACCUAGCUCUUCUCUCAGGGCCUACCUUCCCCCACAGCCAUGCCUGCUGCCUGCAUGCCUUGGGCUUUCAGGCUGGAAUCUCUGGGGGCCAGGCUGAGCCCUAUCCUGGCACAAUGAUACUUGACCAGGGCAGAUGCUGUGUUCCACCCUCCCCUAGGGCAGCAAGAUUCCUAGUUACUGUCCUGCUUCUGGGAACAUUGAACUGGGACUCUCUGGAAAGACAGAAUCUCACUCCUCUCUGUGGCAUCUUUGGGGUGAGAAGAGGGACUGGAAAGCAGGUGGGAAGAAAGAGCUAGAAGACAAAGCAGGAAGAUGGCAGUGGAGGCUGCCGAGAGAAAUUGGAGGUGAAAAGGGCCAGAGCUCUAAAGUGAGGGCCCGGAAGAGCGCAAGGCCUGGAUUGGGGUCCAGAGACUUAAGUUCCACUCCUGAUUCAGUCACUGUGUAACUGAAGGCAAGCGUCAUACUUCUUUUCUGGGCCUCACUUUCCCCAUUUGGAAAACAAGAGGGUUGGGCCAGAAGGUCUCUCCCAUCUAAGGUGACGUCAGUGGAGCUCAUUGAGUAAAGCCGUGACUAGGUCAGACCUCACUUGUGGGAAAAUCACUGGAGCAGCUGAGUGGAGGAGGAAGGCCCUUCAGGAGCACAUGCUCAGCCUUCUGCGAAUGCAUAGCCUGAGAAGAGCCUAUGGAGAAGGGACACAAACGUUGUCUUUGAGCCUCGGAAGGGCGGCUGUCAGGUAGAAGAGAGAUCAGCCUUGUUCUCCAUGGCCCAGAAGGCAGAGCCAGCAGCUGGAAGGGGAAGUCACAGAGGCAGCUCCAUCAUACGCCCCACCCCACCGUCUGGGAGGUUGCCUUGCAAGGUCAUUCUCUAUCAUCGGAGGCCUUCCACUGGAGGCUUGGAUGAUGCUUCUCAUGUGUAUGUUGUCCGGGGGAUUUCUGCUCAGGUCCGGUUCUGAGGUCCAUUCCCACUGUGAGGUACUGAACUUCUGCACAGAUCCCUGGUUAGAGAUUCCGGAGCUCUGCUAGUUAGGGAAGGAGGCAGCCUUGGGCCCAAUGCAGGAUUUCACUGGAUCCUUACUGAUGGUCAGGGGUGAUUGGGUGGAAGGGGUUCUGCACAGCCUCCGUAUGGUCAGGGCCCCAGACCUAUUGAGCUGCCAAGCAGGCUGCUCCCAUGUGUCCCAGGGGCCUGGAUUUCUUCCCCCUUGGCUGGCCCCUUCCCUCCCUGCAAACUUCCUGGCCUGGCCUCCAGGUUUGCCCAACAAUGCGGCCAGGGCUCCCCCAGGGCCUUUUGGGCUCUCCCUCUCCCCUACUGUGCUCUGCUCUGACCCCAAUCCCGGCUCCAGCUCUGCUGAGUGAGCUGGCUGCAUCCCCUUAGCAGCCCCUGCCCCCCACCCAGCCGCUCACCAAGGACUGGGGGAAGCACAUUCCACAGUUUGAUAGCUCCCCACACUCCUUCCUGGGGCUGCGGCCAAUGACGCAAUGGCAGCUGUUCAGGAAUGCAGGUUGUGUGAGUGUGUACGAGUGUGUGAGUGGGGGAGUGCGCAAGUGUGGGAGCAAGCAGUGUGUUUGUGUGUGUGUGUGUGUGUGUGUGUGCGCGCGCACGCCCACGCGUGUGAGUAUGUGUGUAAGAGAGAAAGAGGGGAGGAAGCUGUCCACUGAGCCAUCCUGGGGUUGAAUCUGGAGUUGGGCUUUUGGAGAGGUCUAUCCUCAGGGAAAAAUCACUACCCCAAGGUCUGCAGGAGGGGAUAGGCCAUUUCCCAGGAGCCUUUGCCUGACACAGUAACAUUUCUUCCCCAUGUGGCUAGGCCAGCAGGACCAGGCCCAGUUCUCCUUAGGGCAAAAUGAGUUCUGGUUCCCAUCGAUAGCUUGGGGUCCUGGUUGCCUGAGAAGAGUGGGGUCAGCUCCUUUUUCACCCUGUCCUCUCAGUUUCUCCCUUUGUAAAAUGGGGGUGAACCCAAGGAUACUACUUCUCAAACUUUUCAGAACCUUGGGGGAGGGGGCAGGAAGAGCAGCCACCCCCCCACCCACUCCUGCUUGGCCCAGCUCCAAACCCCAAAUGAUCUUGUGGCACUUGGGCUGGCUAAAUAACCUGAAAAAAAUCUGUUCAUUGUUGGGAUUUUUAAUAGCGAUCUGGCUCAGUCUCGGAAAAGACAUUUUCAAAAACCACCACCACCAACCACCAUGAUGCAUUUUUGCAUGUCUUGAAUUUUGAACUGGCCCAUGGACCACUUGAAUGCCUUGCGGACCACCAAUGUGCCCCAGACCACCCCCUGAGAACCACUGCCCUGUAGGGUACCUAGACAGGGGUCUUAGCCUCCAAGCAGGGUCCUAGAGCGAGCUCAAGCACAAGAGUGGCUGAGUCAGCGGGAGCAAAGAGGGGGAGAGCUGGCACGAAGCUCUGACAGUUUUCCAAGGAGAGUGAUGAGGGCCAGUGCCAGGCAGUGGGGACAGAGGG